rnacentral:rRNA from 1 species
CCUGGUGGCGAGUGGCGAACGGGUGAGUAAUGCAUCGGAACGUACCUUUCAGUGGGGGAUAACGUAGCGAAAGUUACGCUAAUACCGCAUAUUCUGUGAGCAGGAAAGCAGGGGAUCGCAAGACCUUGCGCUGAUUGAGCGGCCGAUGUCAGAUUAGCUAGUUGGUGAGGUAAAGGCUCACCAAGGCGACGAUCUGUAGCGGGUCUGAGAGGAUGAUCCGCCACACUGGGACUGAGACACGGCCCAGACUCCUACGGGAGGCAGCAGUGGGGAAUUUUGGACAAUGGGGGCAACCCUGAUCCAGCCAUGCCGCGUGAGUGAAGAAGGCCUUCGGGUUGUAAAGCUCUUUCGGCCAGGAAAAAAUCGCAUGGGUUAAUACCCUGUGUGGAUGAUGGUACCGGAAUAAGAAGCACCGGCUAACUACGUGCCAGCAGCCGCGGUAAUACGUAGGGUGCGAGCGUUAAUCGGAAUUACUGGGCGUAAAGCGUGCGCAGGCGGUUUUGUAAGACAGGCGUGAAAUCCCCGGGCUUAACCUGGGAACUGCGCUUGUGAUUGCAAGGCUAGAGUACGGCAGAGGGGGGUGGAAUUCCACGUGUAGCAGUGAAAUGCGUAGAGAUGUGGAGGAACACC